rnacentral:rRNA from 1 species
AUUGAACGCUGGCGGCAUGCUUUACACAUGCAAGUCGAACGGUAACAGGCCGCAAGGUGCUGACGAGUGGCGAACGGGUGAGUAAUGCAUCGGAACGUGCCCAGUCGUGGGGGAUAACGCAGCGAAAGCUGUGCUAAUACCGCAUACGAUCUGUGGAUGAAAGCGGGGGACCGUAAGGCCUCGCGCGAUUGGAGCGGCCGAUGUCAGAUUAGGUAGUUGGUGGGGUAAAGGCCUACCAAGCCGACGAUCUGUAGCUGGUCUGAGAGGACGACCAGCCACACUGGGACUGAGACACGGCCCAGACUCCUACGGGAGGCAGCAGUGGGGAAUUUUAGACAAUGGGCGCAAGCCUGAUCCAGCAAUGCCGCGUGCAGGAAGAAGGCCUUCGGGUUGUAAACUGCUUUUGUACGGAACGAAACGGUCUGGGUUAAUACCCUGGGCUAAUGACGGUACCGUAAGAAUAAGCACCGGCUAACUACGUGCCAGCCGCCGCCGUAAGAC